rnacentral:rRNA from 1 species
CCUACGAGAGGCAGCAGUGGGGAAUAUUGGGCAAUGGGCGCAAGCCUGACCCAGCAACGCCGCGUGAAGGAAGAAGGCUCUCGGGUUGUAAACUUCUUUUAUCAGGGACGAAGCAAGUGACGGUACCUGAUGAAUAAGCAACGGCUAACUACGUGACAGAAGCCGCGGUAAUACGUAGGUGGCAAGCGAUAUCCGGAUGUACUGGGUGUAAAGGGCGUGUAGGCGGGAAAGCAAGUUAGAUGUGAAAAACAUGGGCUCAACCUGUGGCCUGCAUUUGAAACUGUUUUUCUUGAGCACUGGAGGGGCAGACUGAAUUCCUAGUGUAGCGGUGAAAUGCGUAGAUAUUAGGAGGAACACCAGUGGCGGAGGCGGUCUGUUGGACAGCAACUGACGCUGAGGCGCGAACGCGUGGGGAGCAAACAGGAUUAGAUACCCUAGUAGUC